GCUUGCUUCAGCAGGCUGCAUACUAAAUUUGGAAUGAGACAGAGAAGAUUAUCAUGGUAUCUGCAUAAGGCUGACAAACAAAAAUUAAAAAAAUAAUAAUAAGGA